rnacentral:rRNA from 1 species
CACGGAGUUAGCCGAUGCUUUUUCUUCAGGUACUCGCAAAACGCCACACGUGACGCCCUUUGCUCCCUGACAAAAGAGGUUUACAAUCCAUAGGACCGUCAUCCCUCACGCGACUUGGCUGGUUCAGCCCUGCGGCCAUUGACCAAUAUUCCUCACUGCUGCCUCCCGUAGGAGUCUGGUCCGUGUCUCAGUACCAGUGUGGGGGACCUUCCUCUCAGAACCCCUACGCAUCGUCGCCUUGGUGGGCCGUUACCCCGCCAACUAGCUAAUGCGACGCAUGACCAUCCGUAGCCGGAAUCGCUUCCUUUAAACCCGAGGAGAUGCCUCCAAGGGUUGUUACGCGGUAUUAGACGGAAUUUCUUCCGCUUAUCCCCCUGCUACGGGCAGGUUUCAUACGUGUUACUCACCCGUGCGCCGGUCGCCGGCGGGAGUAUUGCUACUCCCCCGCUCGCCCCUCGACUUGCAUGUGUUAAGCCUGUCGCUAGCGUUCAUCCUGAGCCAGGAUCAAACUCU